UACAGAGGGUGCAAGCGUUGUUCGGAAUUACUGGGCGUAAAGCGCGUGUAGGCGGCGGCGUAAGUCGGAUGUGAAAUCCCUUGGCUUAACCAAGGAAGUGCAUCCGAUACUGCGUCGCUUGAGUGCCGGAGGGGAUGGCGGAAUUCCCGGUGUAGAGGUGAAAUUCGUAGAUAUCGGGAGGAACACCUGUGGCGAAGGCGGCCAUCUGGACGGUAACUGACGCUGAGACGCGAAAGCGUGGGUAGCAAACAGG
rnacentral:rRNA from 1 species